rnacentral:rRNA from 1 species
GCGCCAGACUCCUACGGGAGGCAGCAGUGGGGGAUAUUGCCCAAUGGGGGGCCCCCUGAUGCAGCUCCGCCGCGUGGGUGAAGGCGUAUUUCGGUCUUUCAAGCCCUCUCUUCCGGGAAGAAGCCCGCCGGUACCUUCCUCCAAAGCCCCUUCUCCCUACGCGCCCUCCUCCGCGGGCCUCCUUAGGGGGCCCUCGUUAUCCGGAUUUCCUUGGUGUAAAGGGGGCGCAGACGGCAGCGCAAGCCAGGAGGGGAAGCCCGGGGGCGAACCCCGGGACUGCCCUUGGAACUGCUUGGCUGGAGUGCGGGAGGGGCAGGCGGAAUUCCUGGUGUAGCGGGGAAAUGCGUAGAUAGAAGGAGGAACACCGGUGGCGAAGGCGGCCUGCUGGACUGCAACUGACGUUGAGGCCCGAAAGCGUGGGUAGCAAACAGGAUUAGAUACCCCAGUAAA